ACCGUGGUAAUUCUAGAGCUAAUACAUGCUAAAAAUCCCGACUUACGGAGGGAUGUAUUUAUUAGAUUAAAAACCAAUGCCCUUCGGGGCUUUCUGGUGAUUCAUAAUAACUUCUCGAAUCGCAUGGCCUUGCGCCGGCGAUGGUUCAUUCAAAUUUCUGCCCUAUCAACUUUCGAUGGCAGGGUCUUGGCCUGCCAUGGUUACAACGGGUAACGGAGGGUUAGGGCUCGACCCCGGAGAAGGAGCCUGAGAAACGGCUACUACAUCCAAGGAAGGCAGCAGGCGCGCAAAUUACCCAAUUCCGAUACGGAGAGGUGUAAGUCACUAUAUUCUUUUCCCAGUUGAUUUUUUAGCGACUUUUACUAACUAUUUGGCUUUACAGAGUGACGAUAAAUACUGAUACAGGGCUCUUUUGGGUCUUGUAAUUGGAAUGAGUACAAUUUAAAUCCCUUAACGAGGAACAAUUGGAGGGCAAGUCUGGUGCCAGCAGCCGCGGUAAUUCCAGCUCCAAUAGCGUAUAUUAAAGUUGUUGCAGUUAAAAAGCUCGUAGUUGAACCUUGGGCCUGGCUGGCCGGUCCGCCUCACCGCGUGUACUGGUUCGGCCGGGCCUUUCCCUCUGGGGAACCUCAUGCCCUUCACUGGGUGUGCUGGGGAACCAGGACUUUUACUGUGAAAAAAUUAGAGUGUUCAAAGCAGGCCUAUGCUCGAAUACAUCAGCAUGGAAUAAUAGAAUAGGACGUGCGGUUCUAUUUUGUUGGUUUCUAGGACCGCCGUAAUGAUUAAUAGGGACAGUCGGGGGCAUCAGUAUUCAAUUGUCAGAGGUGAAAUUCUUGGAUUUAUUGAAGACUAACUACUGCGAAAGCAUUUGCCAAGGAUGUUUUCAUUAAUCAGGAACGAAAGUUAGGGGAUCGAAGACGAUCACCAGCGGUGUCUGGUCGUCAACAGUUAGGCGCGAGCUUAGCUAGUCCGCUACCCUGUAGCGGGCGACACCGUCAAAUUGCGGGGACAUCCUUAGAGCCCUCACCACACCCUGCAGCUAGAAAUAGCUGUAGGUCGUAAAAGCGUGAGGGAUUGGACAAUCCGCAGCCAAGUCCGCGAAGCCUACUACCCUGUAGGCAGGAUGCAGUUCACAGACUAGAUGUCGGUGGGGAAUAAAUCUCCUUAAGUUAUAGUCGAGGCGUACCUGAAAAGGUCACGAAUAAACGCAGAUACCGUCGUAGUCUUAACCAUAAACUAUGCCGACUAGGGAUCGGACGAUGUUAUUUUUUGACGCGUUCGGCACCUUACGAGAAAUCAAAGUUUUUGGGUUCUGGGGGGAGUAUGGUCGCAAGGCUGAAACUUAAAGAAAUUGACGGAAGGGCACCACCAGGGGUUAACACGCUGUUACUGUUACUAUAACCGCAGCCUCUGCCCCGGAAAGUGAGUCGACGAUUUCGUGCGUCGAUGAGGUGGUGCCUAUUUUCGCUAGUCGGUUACCCUGUAGGGGGUUACCCGGCGACACCCUUAAAUUGCGGGGAACUCCUGUUAAAAGGGCCUGCUCCCAAGUACCGCCUAGAAAUAGAGCGUAUGGCGAAGCCUAACAAGCUUCGGUAGGGGAAAAACGCAGGCCCUAGGGAUGAUUCGCAGCCAAGCUCCGUAGCGAUGCGCCGGAGAAGGUUCAGAGACUUGACAGGGGUGGGUUGCGGGGGAACAGCGCCUUAGGGCUGUUCCUCGCUGCCUAAGAUAAAGUCCAUAGGCGUACGAAAGUGCGGCCGAUUAUUUUUGCUAGGGAGCCUGCGGCUUAAUUUGACUCAACACGGGGAAACUCACCAGGUUAACCAACAGAUGGCUACGUCUGGGCCUGGGAAAGUAGACACUGUCUGCUAGUGCUGGAUUUAUCUACGUGGGGAAGCCCCCGAUUCGGGCGUAGAGCAACUGCUUUAGUUGUUUUCCAGUGCGACACCAGCUGGUACAGGGGGACGCUUCAGGCCUUAAACAGCCUAAGCCAAUCCUGUGGCGAGUUCAGGUUGCGCUGAACCGUUGCAACGCGCGCAAAGCGGUGGGCCUUUACAGGC
rnacentral:rRNA from 1 species